rnacentral:lncRNA from 1 species
ACAAAUUUUAAUAAAUCAAAGGCUGAAUUUUCGUCCACCACAAGAGCCCUAUAUAUAGGCGAAAAAUAAAGAGACCUGGUCUAAUAAGGAAACAACUAAACCUAAUCACACCCUAAUUUAAAAAAAAAAACUAAUUCAGCCAAACAAGGUCCUUACUAAUUAAAAUUCGAAAAUAAUAAAUAAAUGCAAAAUAAAUAAAAUCUUCAAUCUUCUUCGACCCCUUGCACGUAAGUCCAACUCACCAACUUCAUCACCUCCCGGGUCUUGCACGAACGAACCUUGGGCUGCAUCACCUCCACCUAAACAUUUUCCCACAACUUCACCUCCGCCG